rnacentral:rRNA from 1 species
UACGUAGGGUGCGAGCGUUGUCCGGAAUUAUUGGGCGUAAAGGGCUUGUAGGCGGUUUGUCGCGUCUGCUGUGAAAAUUCGGGGCUUAACUCCGGGCGUGCAGGCGAUACGGGCAUAACUUGAGUACUGUAGGGGAGACUGGAAUUCCUGGUGUAGCGGUGAAAUGCGCAGAUAUCAGGAGGAACACCGGUGGCGAAGGCGGGUCUCUGGGCAGUAACUGACGCUGAGGAGCGAAAGCAUGGGGAGCGAACAGG